GGUGGACAGGGCUAUGGGGGGGAGUCAGGAGGGGAGUUCCCCGCUGCAGGAUUCCCAGCCUCUAACCUGCUCCUGGAGCCACAGGAUCGAUAUGGGGCUGGGUCCCGGUUCAGUUUCUGCUCAAUGGGAACCCCCAGGAUGUUGAUAGUGGGGGGAGGGAGGGG